rnacentral:rRNA from 1 species
AACCUUUACACUGCACGACAGUGCGAUAGGGGGACUCCGAGUGCGAGGGCAUAUAGUCCUCGCUUUUCUGUACCGUAAGGUGGUACAGGAACAAGGACUGGGCAAGACCGGUGCCAGCCGCCGCGGUAAUACCGGCAGUCCGAGUGAUGGCCGAUAUUAUUGGGCCUAAAGCGUCCGUAGCUUGCUGUGUAAGUCCAUUGGGAAAUCGACCAGCUCAACUGGUCGGCGUCCGGUGGAAACUACACAGCUUGGGGCCGAGAGACUCAACGGGUACGUCCGGGGUAGGAGUGAAAUCCUGUAAUCCUGGACGGACCACCAAUGGGGAAACCACGUUGAGAGACCGGACCCGACAGUGAGGGACGAAAGCCAGGGUCUCGAACCGGAUUAGAUACCCGGGUAGUCCUGGCUGUAAACAAUGCUCGCUAGGUAUGUCACGCGCCAUGAGCACGUGAUGUGCCGUAGUGAAGACGAUAAGCGAGCCGCCUGGGAAGUACGUCCGCAAGGAUGAAACUUAA